UAAAAGUUAACAAUCUUCGCAUUCAACUGUAGCAAACAUGAAUUUAUAACACAAGUUACGCAAUAUGAUGAAAGAACUCCAUGUCUUGUUCUACCUUAUUACAUCACCUGAAUCGGAAUACAAGCAGCAGCUAGGAGCUUCUCUCAGCAUUCAUUCCUCAGAUUUCUAGUGAGAGGGCUCAUGCUCAUGCUCCUGCCCAUUCCCAUGCCCAUGAGAGUGAUCAUCAUGUCCCUCCCAAGGAUGGCGCCACCCCAAAAUUACGGGACCAUCUUGUUUAGCCCUAUACAGAACCCAAAACCACAUGACGGCGCAGAGGCCCUUGCCGGUGACGACAUGCCAGCGCUUCGGCGCCGGAAUCGUGUAGCCCUUGUAGGUCGUGCCGCCGUGACCAGCUCCUCCACCGCCCAUCGCCGCCGCCGUCUUUGCUCGCUCUCUCUGGAUCGAUCGAUCUGGGCUGG
rnacentral:misc_RNA from 1 species